AGCGAACGUUUGCGGCGGGCUUAACACAUGCAAGUCGAACGAGAAUCCCUUCGGGGAGGAAAGUGGCGCACGGGUGCGUAACACGUGGAUAACCAACCCAUUGGUUUGGGACAACACCGGGAAACUGGUGCUAAUACCAGAUGUGUCGCAGCUGUCUUCAGGCGGUUGCGAGAAAGGCCCGCAAGGGUCNCCAACGGACGGGUCCGCGUCCCAUCAGCUAGUUGGUGAGGUAAUGGCUCACCAAGGCAAAGACGGGUAGCUGGUCUGAGAGGAUGAUCAGCCACACUGGAACUGAGACACGGUCCAGACUCCUACGGGAGGCAGCAGUGGGGAAUAUUGCGCAAUGGGCGAAAGCCUGACGCAGCCACGCCGCGUGAGCGGUGAAGGUCUUCGGAUCGUAAAGCUCUGUGGGGGGAGAAGAGAAAGCCGGUGAAGAGCCGGCCCUGACGGUAUCCCCUUAGCAAGCACCGGCUAACUCCGUGCCAGCAGCCGCGGUAAAGU
rnacentral:rRNA from 1 species